AAACUCCCAACGGGUAUUGAGAUGAGUGUCCAUGUCUUAUCAAGAGGGUGGGUCUUAGAUGAUUGAAUUGAAUUGUAUACUUCCAUACCAUGUUCUGUUCAGUAAGUUUUCUCAAGGCUUCAUAAUUUGAUGUUUGAGCAAUUGCAGCAACUGGUCUACAUAUCCAUCCAUGGAUGUUAGGCUUCCACACGAGCUAAAUGUUUGUCAGGACAUUUUCAAGGAGUUCUAUUCGAGAAAGCACAAGAGGCUCUUAAUGUGGAAAAAUUCACUUGGUCAUUGUAUCCUGAAGGCAGAGUUCCCAAAAGGUAAAAAGGAGCUGGAAGUGUAACUAUUUCAGAUUGUCGUUUUGAUGCUGUAUAAUGAUGCCCAAAAGCUUAGCUUCCAAGAUAUCAAAGAUUCUACAAGUAUCGAGGAUAAAGAGCUCAGAAAGACUCUGCUGUCACUUGCAUGUGGAAAAGUUUGUGUACUUCAAAAGGUGGGUUAAUGUACCCUGAUAUGUUUGUUGCUUGCAUUUCUUUCAUUAAAUAUUAAAAGGUGUAUUGGCGUAUACAGAUACCCAAAGGCGGAGAUGUGGAGGAUAAUGACUCAUUUGUGUUCAAUGAAGAAUUUAGUGCCCUACCCUACCGCAUAAAGGUAAGUUUUCUAUUAAUUUGUCUAAAACAGUAAUAGACGAUGGAGCUUGAAUGCUUAAAACUCGAUUCCAACGUCACCUUGAGGAAACAGGUAAAUGCAAUCCAAAUGAAGGAAGCU